UGAGUAGAAAAUUGAAAUGAUGGUUUUAGAACCUUUUUAAAGUUUGAAAAAUACAAGACAUCUUAAAAUAUUUUUUUAUUAAAAAUGAAUAAAAAUCAAGAUCAAAUAUUCAACAUCAACAGAAUAUAAAAAAAAUUAAUGAAGAAACAUUGAAAUCCGAUCGUAUUGAAAUCUUUCAGGUAAGAUACAUUUCCAAAUAUAUGGCUCUUGUCCUUUGUCUGCAAAUAAUGAGCAUCCCUUUCUGGUUGGCUAAAUGAACCUCUCGACUAAUUCAUAUUGCCUUAAAGAAUCACAUAGAGACGCCUAUCCAGUGAUUCUUUUCAUUACAUGGAUGAUGAUGCAUCAAAUGCUUUCAAAGAAUAAACAUAUCAAAGCUUUUUAAUGUCUCAACCUUAUUGCCAUUGCAAGGAAUUUACAUCUUGUGAAGAAGAUACAACUGAUUAUCAUACAAAUGCAAGAAACUUUAACCAAGGCACAAAUUUGCAGAAUUGAAGCUCCAAUGAACAUAGAAAUGCAUCAAAGUCAUUCAUCACCGUAUUGUAAUAAAUUCAUAACUUUAGCGGGGGUACAAAGUUGUGGAAUUGAAGUUCCAAUGAACAUAGGAAUGCAUCAAAGUCAUUCAUCACCGUACUGUAAUAAAUUUGUAACCUGCACAGAAGAUGCACCUGAUGAUUAUCAUUAUAUGAAUACAAGAAACUUCAGGGGAGAGACAAAUUUGUGGAAUUGAAGUUCCAAUGAACACAGGAAUGUAUCAAAAUCACCCAUCACCAAAUGAAAUUAAAGCUUCCUCUCAUUGCAUAGUAUCAAAUUUGCCCCCCCCCCAUCCCAUCACUAAAUACUUAGAUCUUCUUUUCUAUGACCUCACUCCUUCAAUGGUAUUUUUUAACAUCAUCGAGUAAUGCAUUUUAUAGGCAUGAAUACUCUGAGUAAUUGGUGUUGGUGGUUAGAAUUAAUACAGUUGCAAUAACUGUAGUUAGUUCCUCCACAACUUCUUUUACUUUGUGUACAUUUUACAUUUUUACUUUAUAUUUUUCUUAAUUUAGUUUGGGGAAUUAAAUUUUUUUGGUUUCUGUUGGAUUUAUUCAAAUACCUCGGAACUUCGACCUGCUUCGAUCGUAGCUCAUAUUUCCCCCAAUAAAUUCCAAGAUCGGUAAUUGUCAACAACUCUUUCCAAGCCCAUCGUCGUCAACGACCUCCAAAAACUCUCAAUUAGUCGAUACUCAACCGUUCUCUGGAAUAGGAUCAUCAUUAAUGAGAAAUGUUUUUUUCUUAAAAAAACCUACCUGACUAUUUUUCUUAGUCUAUUCAUCUCUUAGAAGGAUUGCAAGUCGUUAAUAAACAUUUUUUCAUUUUUUUAAACUCAACUAAAAUUAUGACUUAGGGACAAAUAAAACCAAAAUUUAGACUGAAAUUUUAACCCAUUUAAAAUUGGAUUUUUCUGUCCAAAAUAAAGGGUUGAAAUAUAAUUAUCCCAAAAUUAUAUUAUGGGGGCACAUCGGAGAGGUCUCGUAAAAAACGGUCUUCAACGGACCCUUAUUAACCCUAUUUUAUAAAUAUUAUUUUUCACUUAAAUACUCCUACUACCUCUAUUUGUGCCUAUAAGUCUAAUAAUGUAUUAUCUUUUCACGUCAAAUCAAUCAUUUGUAAUUUAAUUGAAACUCACAUUCGAGAUGAUUGUCGGAGGUCCGACUUGCAUAGAAGACAUCCCUUAGAACACCUGAUACUUAAAAGAGGGGGAAUACUUGUGAUAUAAUAUCCCAAACUUAGUCACAGCACACCAGCAACUAACGAUACGGAUAACCCAAGAUGAAUUAAGAAACCAAUAUAGGUUUGGGGGAGGUUCUAAGUCAACUCUUGGAAAAAUCGACUUUUCCAGAACUCGACUUUCUCAGAUGUCGAUCCAAAGAAAGUCGACUUGAAACCAAAUCUGAGUAGUUAGACGAUUACAACCUAAAUGACCAGAUUACCCCAUAAAAGUCCUAUAAAUAGAGGUCACCACUCAUUCAUUUAGAUAGGUCAUUCAGUGUAGAGAAGUCUCAGUGAAGCAGAACUCUGAGUAACUGAGUUCCGGUCUGAUUUCCCUACGGAGUUUCCCCUGACAUUUGUUGGAAGCGUCCUCGAGCACUGAUCAGUUCCUCCCUCAUCACUAGUUAAUACCAAUCAUCUGAAGACUUCCGUCUUCUUCCUCCAUACUACCCAAAUUUCGUCAUCGACAAAUGAGUUAGUCUUUGAAGUCGUCGACUUGUCAGGUAAUUAAAUUUUUUUAAUAUUUUUUUUAAAAGUACUGAUUCUGAUCUUACCAUCUCCUCCUGUAUUGCAUUUUUGUUAUGGUCUUCUUGCUUUUUCCUAGUUGUUUAUUUUAUAUUAAACCUUACUUGUUAGUAUGAAACCCAUGGUUGCUAAUCACUGUAUGUCUGUAAACUAAUCUUGUGUUUUCUUUGCCUCCUCUAUUAUUUUUACUUAUUUUUACACAGAUUCCAGUUCUGACGACACUAUCGAUCAUACUUGUCACAAUCCGGAAGAGUUUUAUAAUUCUUUUAAUAUAUAAUAGUGAGAUAUUUUGAUGUAUGAAAUUAUUAAUUCGUUUUUAUCAAUCUGUAAGAGUUCGUAUUGCUUUUAUAGAAUAAAAACAUUUUCUUAUGAAGUUUGCAUGCUAUAUUAUGUUCGUCGACAUGCUAAUAUUAUUAUUGAACAUGUUGCUAGCAUCAGUGGGAAGUGAAGCAGCCAUUUGAGGAGAUGAAGGUAAAGAUAGAAAAUGAAGAUGAUGAAUGUUUGGGCAAACAAUCCUUAAUUGUGCCCUAAUUGUGCCUUGAGUGUAUGAUUGUAUUUAUAGAUAAUUGAUAUAACAAACCCAAAAGAAUGUGAGUGAGGUUUGUUAUGUUUGUUACAAAUUUAAUUGUAAUAUUUAAAUAUAUAUAUAACUUUAUAAUAUAUAUAUUCCAAUAUUCCCCCUCAAGUUGGUGUUUAAGGAACUACGCCGAGCUUGGACCUUAUCUCAAGGAAUCGUGACGAAGGUAACGGUUUAGUGAAGUCAUCAGCUAUCUGAUCUCUUGUAGAGAUAUGAGUGACAUGUAUUUUUCCAUUUCUGACUAAUUCUCGCACGAACCCGAAAUUGAUCGCCAUGUGUUUCAUUCAAGAGUGGAAUACAUGAUUAUAUGCUAGAUAUUUAGUUCCAAGAUUAUCUGUCCAUACUUGAGCUCGUGUGACUGACACUAGCCGAAUUUUCCUUAACAAAUUUUGAAUCCAGACUAUUUCUGAUGCUGCAUCAGCCAUAAUGCGAAAUUCGGCUUCUGUAGAGGAACGUGCAAUACACUACCAGUUCACUGACUUUUAGCGACGGUUAGAAUCCGUCGCUAAUCAUAAAAAACCGUCGCUAAUUUUUAUGAGGGCCUUUAUAUCCUUCGCUGAAAGUCGCUAGUCCUUCGCUGAAAGUCGUCUCGCUGAUUUUUUAAGGAGGGCCUUUAUAUCCGUUCCUAAUUAUUAGGUUAUGACCAAGCCGUUCCUAACUCGUCGCUAAUUUUUUCCCGCGCCAAGUGUUUGACGCCCAAAUUUUCAUUGUCGUCCAUAAAUUUCAAAAUAGCUGUCCUUAGACAGCUAUUUCUCAUGCUCCUACUUGUGUUUACCUUUUAAAAAAUAACAAAAUAAUUUAAAUCGAUUAACUAAAUGUUUAUAAUAAGAAUUUUAGUAAAUAUUGAAUAACUUACUUUCAUAAUAGCGAUUUUGUCUAACAAGUCUUUCUGUUUUUGUAUCAAGGUCGUCAUUUGUUGGUUAACCGUCUCAAAUCUCUGGUUAACGGCCGAAUCUAAUCUCUGGCUAACGACCGUCUUUAAUUGCAUGUUAACGGCUUCUUGAACUCGAUUAUCGAAUUCUUCUUUUCUAUUUCUUCUCUUGUUUGGCGAUUCAAUUUAGUCUUGGAUUGCUUUGGCAUCAAUGAAUUGUCCCCCGGUCUCAAUUCGAGAAUACGGCCAUUUGUUUUGCCUCCUGUAGCCUUAAUACAAGCUUCCAGACUGUCAUCAGUGAAUAACGCCUUUUUUCGCCUGUAGGAGGUCGAUUCUUGCGUCGAAAUGUCUUCUUCGUCUGUUGACUCCUCAUCUUCGUUUUCAUCUAUUGUUUGUUGUUUAUCCAAAAUUUUUUUUUUGUACGUUUCGUAAUCCGACUAUUAUAAACAAUAAAUAAAUAAAUUAUUAAUGAAAAAAAAAUUUACAAAAUAUUGAUACUUAAAUACGUACCAUUAAAGCCUUGCCUUUAUCGUUUAUCGGAUAAUGCGUGACCAUAAAAGAUUCUGUAAAUGAAGCUGGACGACCAAUGAAAAAAUGAAAAACUCUGUAUCAUGAAAAAAUGAAUUAGUUGAAACAAAAAGUGAACAAAUUAGAUAUUUAAUAAUUUUACCAAUGAUUGAGUGUUAGUUUCAACGGAUGCCGAUCCUCCUGUAUAGACGAUGUAUCCUUCUUUGCUCGUGCGGUUGUCAGAAUUCUUCUUUGAUUUUUUUUGAAAUUCGCUUGACAAGAACUUCGUUAUCAUUCUUUCCCAUUGGUUCUUUCGUAGGUAUCCGGAAGGAAAGUUCUUGCACAUGUCGUCUAGGGUAACCACACAUGCUAGCUUCUUCGCAUGUUCCCGGGCUUUAUUCAUCCAUUUAAGAUAGUUCAUUGUCAAAUAUUUGUCGAACGUGGUUCGAGCAUAAUCGUUAUCUUCGAAAGUGAAAAAUGUCUAAAAGCGAAAAAUAAGUUGUUAAUAUUUUUAACUAAUUAGAAAAAUGAAAAAAAAAGAAAGUAGACCAAAUUUAAAGAUUAUCAGAAAUUUAUUCCAGACUAGAGUCUUGUUCUCCUCACUCCAUUCAGCCCAAGAAAUCUUAUCGUCAGGAAUGUUUGAUUUCACUAUACAUCCGAUUUGUUUUCGGAUUAUGUUUAGGAAUGAUCUAUAUAGGUUGAAGUUUAUUAAUAUCUUCAAAAUAAAUAUAUUUAAUUUAAAAAUACUUACCCACAAGUCAGUAUCUGGCCUUGAAAUGCUUUCGAGGGUUGGGGAAUUUCAUUCGAAAACGUUCUUAUUGAAACCCUAGAAACAACUUCAUCAUUGUCAGGUUGUCUUCGUCCCCUAGAAGUACAUCCCCGUGCGGUUCUUCCACGUACCAUAUCUGAAAAAUAAAAACAUAAAUUAAACACGAUAAUAGAAGUAUAAUAAUAUGAAAAUAAUAGUACAUUAGUAUAAAAGGUAUAGGCAGCACAUUAGUAGACCUCCUGAGGUAGUCCUUAAGGAGGUCAUUAAAGACAUCAGUCUCUCUUUUGAUUCAGUGUAUUACAAGAAGAGCUGUUGUCAUCCUUUAGAGAUAUCUAUGAUGGAAGUAUGGGAGACCAACCUUCUGAGGCAGCGUAUCUAGUUACUGUAUAACUAGACUACAUAGCUAAUGGAAGAGAGUCAAUGAGCAUUUUGCUCAUUUCUUUUUUACUUCUAUUUUAUUUCUAUUCUCUAUUUUGUAAACUUGGCAUUAGCCUUAUUCUAAUGAAAUUUAAUUGCUUCAAAAAAAAAAAAAAAAAAAAAAAUGAAAAUAAUAGAAAUAUAAUAAAAUAGACUUACAAUUAAAUUAAAAACCCAUUUCGUCGUCACUAGAUGAAUCAUUUCAUUUCACAUAAUUUCAUUCAACUAAAACAAAAUUCAUAAGUUUACUAAAAUUUCACAUAAGUUUACUAAAUUAUUGUUCAACUAACUAUAAUUAUCAUUGACACUCAUCCCAUCGCUGUUUUCGCCGACUUCAUCGUCGUUCGAAAUUACUAUAGUGUUUGGAAAGUUAGACGUAACCGAAACUUCGGAAACCGGUGAUGAUUCGAUUUCGCAGUUAAACGAAGGACCUUGCAUGGUGGCAUUCGCCUCUGAACAAUUCGACCCGUAGGAAUACGUAAAAUCGGGUGGAUAUUUCACACCUCCCGUAACCGGUGCUCUUUUGUCUCGUCGGGGACCAAAGAACUUAGUGGAUGAUCCAUCAUCGGGGGCCUCCUAGAUGGUUGUUUCACUCUCAUUACGAUUGGCGGAUGAUGAGAGCUCGAUAGACCAACCGCCCGCGGCACAUAUGCUGCAGGAUCUAGCUGAAAUGGAGGUACAAUCGGUACUGUUGCAGGUACGGUUAGAACUUGAGGGCGUACUUCCGGAACACGUACCGGAAAUGGAGGUCUGCGCGGUAUCUGUUUUUCUCUCCUUCCCAAUAUGCUAUAUCAAACAAUUUAUUUAAAUUAUACAUUCAAAAAAUUAACUAAACAAUAAUAAAGUAAUGCAUUUACAAAAAUUAGAUUAAUAAACUAAAAUGAUAAUUGAAAUAAGAAAUUAGAAAUUACAUACUUCGAAUUUUUGGUGAAAUGAAGAUCAAGUCUCCCUUGUAUAAGCUUAUUUAGCACCAACACCUGUGAGUUUGGAAUAAACUAUCAAAUUACAGUUUGAAUUAUUUAGUCAAUAAUCAAAUUACAGUUUAAAAUUUUAAAAUUGAAUCAAACUAUCAAUUUUUUAAAAUUAAUUAUUUAGCCAUACAUGAGACAUGACAAUUCAAUUGGAAGAAUCUAUCAGACUUGCUGUAAAUUGUAAUGUAACUUGCUUGCCCUGAUAAAUGACCGAUCUAAAGGGACAGUGUAAGCAUUUAAUUUAAGCAACUAAGUAGUAAGCUUAUGGCUAGUAGUAGUAGUAGUAAGAACACAAAUUAAUCAAGAUUAAAAUAUAAAGCAGAGUCUAUUGGGUCAGGUAGGAAAAUAAAUUAGUCUCUGUCAGAAAGAGGCAUGUCAUGAAGCCACUCCUGCCCAGUUAAAUGCUAAGAUUUUGUCUUUCACGUGAGGAGCAUAAAAUCCAAAUAAAAUCCAAGUAGGAUCGAUAAUAAACAAGAGAACAGAGAGGAAACUGGAAAAAGAGAUGUGGGUAAGUAAGGAAAGAAAGGAACAUAAGAGGAAAAGAGGGAAUGAGGAUUACAGAUUAUGGAUAGAUAUUAGAUUUAGACAACAACAGCCAAGAAGUAACAGGAUGAGAGUGACAUAACAAUAACCAUAGAAGAUAAACAUAACAUGGUAAAAGUUAAUACAAGAAAGAAGAUCAGAGUUCCUCCCUCCCUCCCUCUUCAUAUUUUCGGGCUCAAAAAACAGAACAUCAUGAAUGAGGUCAACAGGAAUGAAUGGAAGAAAUCGAAGAAAAAAGAAGAAGAAUCAUACCUGUUCAAGUCGCAGGAGGAGAGGAAGCCUCGUCGGUCGGAAAUCGUCGGUGUCGUCGGAAAACGUUGCUGUGGAACUCCAGCUGCUGUCGUCGGAAGUUUGGGGGUUUGGGAGGUUUUAAUUUAGGGGUUUGGGGUUUAAUUUAGGGAUUUGGGGGCAUUUUGCAUAUUUUUUGUUUUGGUUUAAUUUUUUUAAUUUAAACUUCAACUAUAAUUUCAAAAAGAUCUAAUGUAAAUUAUCAAUUUUAUAUUUAGGGACGGUUUUUUUAUAAGCCGUCCUUUUUAGUAAGCCGUCCCUAAUUAUUACACCCCAAAAAACUCGAAAUAUUUAGGGACGGUUUGCUAAAGAGCCGUCGCUAAUUUUUAAGAGCGGCGAUGGUCUACCGAAGAGCCGUCGCCAACCAUUAACGAAAAAUCAGAAUUAGGGACGACUUUUGGAAGCCGUCGCUAGCAUCGCGGAAUUUUCACGAAAUCUUUUUUAAUAUUUAGCGACGGUCCGAAUCCGUCGCUAAAUCCGUCCUUAAAGGUCUGUUUUCUUGUAGUGAUAGUGGUUGUUUCUUGGCUGACCAAGAUACUAGAUUAUUUCCGAUAAAUAUCGCGAAACCUACCCUACUACGUUGAUCAUCUAGGCAACCUGCCCAAUCUGCAUCUGUGUAUACAUCUAUUCUGACUGAGGCUGAUGGUGCAAACAAUAUUCCAUAUGAAUCCGUACCUUGUAAAUAUCUCAACACUCGUUUUGUCGCUGCCAAAUGAACCGUGGUUGGAUUUUCGAGAUAUUGACAUAGUUUAUUCACGGCAAACGAUAUAUCUGGUCGAGUAUUUACCAGGUAUAAUAGUGCCCCUAUUGAGCGAUAUAACUGCUUAUCUUCCAUUGGUAUCCCGUCAGUCGCAGUCAACUUAGUAGUAGACGGCAUGGUGUAGAUGCAGAUUUUGACUUGUACAUAUUUGUUCGGUGUAACAGGUCACAGAUGUACUGAUGUUGAGACAGAAUGUAACUACUAGUAGUGCCUAUCGGAGUCGGUUCCAUUCCGAAGAAGAACUGCAAUCUUCCCAUAUCCUUGAGUCUGAACUCCUUAAACAACGUGUCAAUCAACUGUGUAACGUCUGAAACUGAUGACCCAGUGACCACUAUGUCAUCCACAUAAAUCAACAUAUAAACCUGAGAAUUUGUCGUAAUUCACAAGAAUAGAGAAGCAUCUGAUACGGUACUUAUAAAACCAAUCAAUUUUAAAAAAUAGCUCGAGGAGAUUGCCGAAGUCCGUAGAGUGACUUGUGAAGUUUGCAUACCUUGGUUAGAUGAUGUUCGUUUACAAAUCCUGGGGGUUGUGUCAUAAACAUAGUUUCCUUGAGAUCCCCAUUUAGAAAUGCGUUGUCAACAUCAAGCUGACGAAGCUGCCAUGAUGGUUGGAAACUUCACUACCAGACUGUACGUUUCAUCAAAAUCAAUUCCUUCAACUUGUGAAAACCCACGUGCAACCAGACGUGCUUUUCUUCGUUGAAGACUACCAUCAGAUCCCCUCUUGACCUUGAACACCCAUUUACAAGUGACUAAGUUCGCAUUUCGAGGAAGGUCCAUCAAGGACCAAGUAUGACUUCGUAUGAAUGCAUCAAACUCAACUUCCAUGGUCUGGAUCUACUCAGGUGACUUGGAUGCCUGUCGAACUGUAAUUGGUUCUGAGAAAUCAUCAAUUGCAAGUGACGUAGCUUCCAAUCCUGUCAGUCUCCGAUAAUCAACUCGAGGAACAUUCCGUUGGGGCCGAUUAUUUGGGGUUGGGAGACUUGUAUUUAUAGGAUCAUCUGAACCUUGACUAAUUGAUGGUGAAUUGUUCGAACUUUCAGUACCGUACACUGCUGGUGACAAUGUGGGCCCCACCAGGGAUAAACUUGAUGGUUCUGGACUGAACCGAAGAUUAUGAGAAUUUGACCUUCCAAUCAUAGGCGUAGUCGAAUUUGAAGGAUGAACCGAAAGCAACCCUCACGUACCCGAUUGAUCACCUGUUGACAUACCUUGGGAUACCUGUAAUUUUGCAAAUGGGAAAGAAUUUUCGAAAAAAGUACAAUGACGUGAAGUGUAUAUUUUUUGAGUUUGUGGAUCGAGACAAAUAUAUCCCAUAUGAGAUGGACUAUACCCGAGAAAAAUGCACGCGAAAUGCGAACUUAUGCUGAUUAUAGAGUCUAAGAAGUGAAAAGACUUCACACCCAAAUACUUUUAGGAAAGCGUGUUUGGGUUAGAUAUUGAAAUUUUUUUGAAGUGGUGAGGUUUCGUGAGUUUUGGAUGGUAUAUGAUUUAUAGUAAAUACUGCUAUGGAGAACGCAAAGUUCCAAUAUGAUAAGGGAACCCUACCAUGAGCAAGGAGUGUUAGAUCAAUGUCCACUAUAUGCCUGAUUUUUCUCUCUACCGUGCCAUUUUGUUCAUGAGUAUGUGGACACGACCUUCGGUGAUGAAUUCCAUGAGAGGUGAAGUAUGUGGUGAGAGCUUGAAAUUCAACGCCGAAGUCUGACUGAAAAUAUUUGAUUUUAUGCUCGAUUUGUUUCUCCACCAUAAUAUAAAAUUUCUGAAAAAUAUCUGCAACUUCAGAUUUAUGUUUGAUAGGAUAAAACCAGAUAAAUCUAGAAAAAUCAUCAAUAAAGAACACGAAGUACUUAUGUUCAUUAUAUGAAGAGACUGGAGCAGGGCCCCACACAUCACUGUGAAUGAGUUCUAAUGGACACUUGGACUUAGAAUAGGUCGAGACAAGGUGGUUGCGACUCGCCUUGCCUAACACACAUGACCUACAUUUAUUGAAUUUGGAAAUAACAGAAUGUAAACGAUUUGCAGAUACUACAUGACGAAGGACCAACCCAUGAGGGUGACCCAGCCGUUGAUGCCAGACAUCCAGAUUGGCUCGAGUCGAAUGAAGAGUUGGUGGUGGAGUCGGAACAAUCUUGUAGAGAGAUCCAUCAUGUUGUCCUUGAAGAAGUACCGUGUGAGUAAUUCGGUCCUUCACAAAGACACGAAAAGAGUCAAACACAAAAUAAUAGUUAUUAUCUCUGCAAAAUUUCUGAACAGAUAAUAACGGAGUUUUAAGUGACGGGACGUGCAAAAUGUUACGUAACGAAAAAAAAGAGGAUCCACUUGCAAAAUUACCAUCACCCAAGUGUUGAAUUUGAAGUUGGGUUCGAUUACCUAACUGUGUGGACCCGGGUCCCUGAUACGGCAUUGGAGAUGAGAUCGAUUGGACAUUUGGAGUAGAGUGAUGUGUCUCCCCAGUGUCCGGGUACCAGGCUGCCAUAUCGUGUUGGUCCAGAUCACUUGUUGAAAAAUACGAAUUUGCCACCUGAAUGUUGUUAGUCAUGGACUGCCUAGGUACAAAAUAAUUUGGACUUUGUUGCUGGACCGGAAAUGGAUGGUAUUGAACUGGUUGCAUGGGUGAGGCCACAUUGUAUGGGGAAUUAAUGUUAUUAAUUUGUGGGUUAUUCAUAUGUGGAUUAUUAACUUCUUGGGUUGGGCUCGAAUUCUGAUAGGGAUUAACCCUAUAUUGGCAACGAUAUGGGUUGUGGCCCAAGCCACCACAAACAGGGCGUGGGUCCCUUCUUACUUGGGGUGUCCUACCCCUUGACUGGCCUUUUCCUCUUGAGUUUCUGUCGCCACCGCCGCCGGACGUGUUUCUUCCUUGCGAAUUUCCGUUGAACGUCGACGGCGUGUAGGAGCCGGCGCCGACCGUCGUUUGGUUCAAACAGGGAAUGGAUUGCCUCAUCUUAAGACGGAUUUGGUGGCUCGACAUUAUUUCCAAGAGCUCGUCAAACUCCACCGCCGCCUGCCGGACUGCUAGCGCCGUGACCGCCUCCCCGAAGUCAACUCCGAGGUUGUUAUACACCGUCGCAUUGAAGAUGCGAGUUGGAACAGGAGCUCCGGCAGCCGCAAGCUCGUCGGCAAGCAGCUUGGCACGCCGGAGGAAAAUCGCGACGACCUCGCCGGCGGCGUGCCUAUUAUUUUGAAGUUGCAUCUGGAUUUGGAGGAUUCUCGAUUCCGAUGGCCUCCCAUAUGAAGUGGCCAAUGUUGCCCAAAUGUCGGCCGUCGAUUCCAGCCCUAAUACAGUUGGGAGCACUUCCUCCGAUAGAGAUGACAAAAUCCAACUUACAAGGAGUUGGUCUCUACGCCACCAAGCCAUGUAGAUUGGGCAUUGUAGGGAUGGCGUAGGUGGAGGGGUGAGUUGUCGAUCGACUUCAAUCCAAAACAGUUCAAGAGGGGAUUAAAUUGCAUUCUCCAAACUAAAUAACUUGUUGAUUUUAGUUUGAUGUAGAGAAAGCUCUGGAUGGAUCCAAAUGAUGGGGAUCCAACCAACACUUGUUGAGAUAGCAAGUUCGCUUGAUUGGAUCUAGUUGGAUCAGCGAUUGUAGGGAUCAUCAUUGUGGGAUGAUUGAUUGGAAACGGUAUUGAUGUUUGCAGCGGAGCGGUAGUGGUCGGAAUCACGGGAUCAAUACCGACGUCGGAUACCAUAUUGAACAUGUUGCUAGCAUCAGUGGGAAGUGAAGCAGCCAUUUGAGGAGAUAAAGGUAAAGAUAGAAAAUGAAGAUGAUGAAUGUUUGAGCAAACAAUCUUUGAUUGUGCCUUUAGUGUAUGAUUGUAUUUAAUUGAUAUAACAAACCCAAAAGAAUGUGAGUAGGGUUUGUUAUGUUUGUUACAAAUUUAAUUGUAAUAUUUAAAUAUAUAUAUAACUUUAUAAUAUAUAUACAAAGAAGUUCACAUGCGGACGUCUGUUUGAAACGGACACUCUUUCGACGAUGGACGGAUCUCAAUCCGUCGGUCCGUAACUCGACGACCGACCGUUCCUCCUUUCACAUUUGUCGUACUCGGCUCGGGCGCGUAUCCAUUUGCAUUCCACGUUGCUACAGUGCGCAAAAUGGGGGAUGUCAGGAGGUGAUCGAUGUCACAAAUAAGUAGGACGCCAUGCCUCCAUGUCGUACCGGUCGUGAACGUCGUCCGUUAACACCGUCCAUAUCUUCGCCGAAUCGAAUCAUUGAACGGACAUCUAAUCGGACACCCCAACACCCCUCGUCGAACAUCCUCACUCCGUUUCCCCAAAUAUUGAGGCAGAUAACACCAUGCUUGCCCGACUGGUCACCGGCUUCAAAAUUACAUCCGCGCCAUCUGCAGGCGCCUUAUUUAUCGGGGAGGAAGUCUCUAUUCUUAGUACCAAGAAUCCUCUGCAGUGUGAAAUUCGUUUCCAAACACUCAUUCGUUUCCAAACAAAAGGUAUUUAUCGAUUUACAUUGGUCGAUUUUUCGUUUUCAUUUCCUCGAUUCUGAUUUUCGUUCUCUCCGUUGGGUUUCGUUCUUCCUGUUGGGUUUCGUUCUCUCCGAUUUCGUUCUCUCCGAUUUCGUUCUCUUCCUUAUUCGGCGAAAUCUUCCUGUUGGGUUUCGAUAAAAUGUUUUAUUUGUUUUCAACGACGCUUCGAUACAAUGUUUUAUUUUAACUUUCGACGACCCAUUGCGAUUUCGUCCGUCUCUGCCUCAAUGUCUGUCUUUGCCAAUUUUAAUCAAUUCAACUUCUCGACAUCCUGUAUGGUAGACUGACUUUCUGCAUUUUCAUUUUUGGUCUAAGAAAAUAGCAACUUCAUUCUGCAUUUUCAUUUUUGGAAUGAUAAAAAUUUCAUUACAUUUUAUUUUGUUAUUUGAUAACUAGUUUGUGUAUUUCUUCAAAUUAAACUAGUUUCUUUGUCUCCAACACAGUUUGUUCUGGCCAUUACAAAUAUCCGCAUUUCACUGUUUCUCACUUGUUAGUUUCCUUUGUGAAUUGAAUUUCUGAAAAUCUUUUUUUAGAUGAUUUUAUUUUCAAACCAUAUUCUGAUUUUUUUUUGCUUUUCAACAACUCAUUUCAAUUUGUCAUAACUAACGAUUUCAGACUAAUAUAUAAAAUUCAAAUAGUUCAUAGUUAGGGGGAAUGACUUCUAGGAAGAGAAGUGCUCCUGAAAACAACCAUGUAAGGAAGAGGAGGAGUAACCUCAAUGAAGUCAUUGUCAUUAGCGAUGAUGAGACAGACAACGGAGUUGUCGCUGAUUCAUCGGAGCCCAUGCCUAUUACUCCGGGUCGUCGAACAUCCAGAUCGACAUCAUCGCCCUCAAGGACCUCUGGAUUGCGCGGGUGUUGACCAUUUCAGAAGAGGAACCGAGUAAUGAUGCAAGGAGAGUCAUCUCGUUCAAAUCAACCAGUCAUGAUGUCGGACAUCUUUGGCCAUUGCUCGCCAAUGUUCUUCGAUCACUACCCAUAUCCACCACCUCCUCCGCCUCAAGAGCCCGUGCAACUCUCCCAAUAUCGACUAGAAAACCCGUAUAGGAGAAGUGCUUUGACUGAACUGAAUCAAUGCUGGUUUUGUCUACAACCAAUAAAUGAGGGACAUCCAAACUACAUGCCUUUUAUUCCGCUACAACCCGUACAACCACCAUCAGUUGAGGACUACGAGGAAGCUUUGAAGUCUUACGAGAUUGAUCCUCAAGAAUGGAAGGAAUGGGUGGACUCUUUCAAUACUCCUCCCCACUAUAAAUGAUCACUUUGCCUAGGUUCUGAAAUGAAAAAGAGUAUUGUUAGGACUUAAUAGUUUUCAUUACAGUUGUUAAUCAAAUGUACUCUUUCAAUGCAAUCAACUAUUUCAAUAUUAUGCUAUUUAGAAAUUCAGUUGAUCUUCUCCAAUUAGAAUUUAACCUAAAUACAUUUGCCUCUCAACCAAAUUAACCCAACAUUAAUUAGAAAUUGUUAUCAACUUACCUAUCUCUAAGAAUUUAUUAACUAUGCUAAAUAAUUACUUAAUAACACACAAAUAAUUGGUGGUUUGAAACACCAAUGUAAACAAAAGAACAAAAUGUUCGAACAUUAUUUCAAAGAUUUAGUCCAAUGGUUUGAACUACAGUCCAACACAGUUCACUACCGUUAUCAAAAUUUCAGUCCACCACAGGUCAAACUACAUGUACCUUAGAAUGAAAUUUUGAAGAUCAUGGCAUUCAUUGUGGAAGAGGAAGGAGAGAAACUCGCUUAAGUUCACUCAAUCUCUUGGUAGGUCCUUGUUAGGAUCAAACUGAUAACAUGGUUAUUGCCAACUCCAGUAUCUGUUAGUGAUAUAGAAUUAAUUUGUUAUUAUUCAAUGCACUAAUUUGUUAUCUCUGUUUUCACCCCAAAGCCAAUUUAUUUAUAGUUUCAUUUUAUAAAACUUCAACUCCAUGUAUGAGAUGUACUUUAAAAAAGUAUUUUUUUGCUUGAAAAAGAAGCAUUUGAAUUGGUCGUAUGUUUCUAUUCUAAUAUAAGUGUUUUUUCAGGUUCAGGUUUGAUAAGCAAGAAAGGUUUGAAAGGUUCAAUUGUUGAUGCAACAUCUUCUGCUAAGGUUUGUAGGUUCUUAUUUAGUGUCAUUCGUUUAUGCUAUAAGUAUGCAUUUUUCUAUUUGUACAUAAUUAAUUCCAUCUCUUUUUCAGGAAACAUCAUUUAUAUUCAAAUUUUGUAACCAUAUUUAUACUCUCUUUUAAUUUCACAUUAUUUGGUGUAUUUAACAGACAUUUGCAGUACUAUCUGGGGUUCACAGUCUAGUUGUGUGUUUCAUGAAAAAACUUAGAGGAAAAGAUGAUGGUAUGGUUUCAUGAAAUCUGUUUAUUUCUUCUUUUGCGACCCAUUUUUAGUAUUUUUUUACUAUAUCUGACUUAGAAAAAUAGAUUUCUUUAAAUGGUUUUGUAAACUAAAUCAAAUCAUAACAUCUAGAAAAUGAAAGAGAGGACACUCCUUCCAUUUUUAACUCACUUUACCUUUCAAAAAGAUUAGGGUGUCUUUUUUCUGUUUAUCUACUAUCCAGUAUUUGUUGAAAUUUAAAUGCAUUAUGGGAGUUAUGAGGGUAGAGACUAUUGAUAUUCAAUCUUGUCGAUGGAUUAAAUAAAUAAUGGAUUGGAGUUGAAUGUUUUGGGAGUUCAAUAGUUCCAAAAUAAUAAAACCAUACUAUAAAUAGCUAAGGUGGUGUAAUUUGGAGAAUCACUUGUAAUUUUGUUUUAACACCAUCAAUUGAAUAGGUGAAAUUGAAGCACUCGAUGGAUGCGCACCUGUUUAUAGGGAUGGACCACAUUAAAAUCAUAUGUUCCCUUUGUUAUUAAUGUUUAUUUAUUUUAUUUGAAAACAUGAAUGAGAACUAACAUCUAGCACUAAUCAAAUAGUUUCAGACAGAGGUCUAACAAUAAGUAUGAGCCUGAAUUUUAUUUGUAUGGAUAUAAAUUAUAUAAUUUUGAUUUUUAAUAACCAAUAAGUAAAUUAGUAAAAUAUCUGUGAGUUUAAGGUUUCCAAUGAAUCUAUGCGCCCAUACGAUGGCUAUUGGAUCAUAGACGUUUAUACACGCAUAUACGUGCAUAAACGCAUAAUUAGCAUAAAUACUCAAAUGCAUAAAGUCAUGAGUUCAUAAACACUUCUAUACAAUCAUAGAUGUUGCCCAACCUCUCCAUCUUCAGCCCCUUUUCUUUGACUCCUGGAUUGCCCUGCUCGUUAUUUCUGUUCUUUCUUUUUAACCUUUUUGGUUUAAAACCAACCUGAUCGACCCAGAUCCAGGUAACGCAUACAACAUGGUAGCGCUAAUCGAAAUUCUGCAUACUAGCUUAUAUGACACAUAUGCAAGUGCAUACGAAAUCUUGUGUGAGGUUAAUUUUGAUCUGGAAAUUUAAUCCAAAUUGAGCACCGGGUACCAGGACAGGAAGUCUAUCUAACAUUAAGUAUGAACUAGGAUUUUAUCUGCAUGGAUGUAGAUUUUAUCAUUUAAAUUUUUAAUAACUAUGAAGUAAAAGAUCUUUAAGUUUGGUUUAGAUUUGGAAACAUAAUAUUGACUAACAACUAACAUCAGUCAUCAAGCACCUAGAUCCCAGGCAGGAUUCUAUCAUGAAGUAUGAACUAAGGUUUUAAUAGCCAAUAAGUAAACAAUCUGUCAAAUUAAUUUGGUCUUUGUCACUUGAUUGGGGACAUAUGCUAAGUAAGGACAUAUAACAUAUUAGGUAAAUGAGAGAUUUACAGUUUGCGUAAGCCAUUUAUUGCGACAAACAACAAACAGCCACUUAUCUGUAAAUGAGAGAUUUACAGAUGACAUGGUUUACGGGUUUGGUAGGAGAACCGCAAAAGGUGAUGCCUAAGUAUUGAUCUCAGAAUGGCCUUUCAUACUGUCCAAUGGGAGGCUAUCAUCUCUACCCAGAAUACAUGAUUUCUCUCCACUAUUUUACACAAGGGUUCUAGAAUUAUUUGUCCUAUUUUCCUCGCCUACCUACUCAGCCUUAAUUGAAGGAUCCCCCAUCUCACCCCCCUUCAAAAACCACAUAGGAAUCAGGCAAGUUGAUGGUGAUGGACAGAGAUGGAAUUAAGGAACAAGAGUGCCACUAUCAUUCACUUGAUACCGACCAAGUGAAUGAAGCAAAAAAGAACAAGAGUAAUAGUAAUAUGAAAUAUUCAUUCCUAACAAUAGGAGACUAAGAUCUUUGAGAAGAAUAGGAGACUACAUAAUUCUGUAGUCCAUCUUACACUUGAUACCAUAAUUAGUAGGAAUGUGUGAUCGGAUACUAUUUAAUUUUUAUGUAGCCUCCAUAUGUACUUGGGACAGUUAUGAAAUAAUGUAAUACCUGAAUGUUUAAAUCUGUAAACUGUUACAUAUUCAUACACAUCUCGAGGAGAACAAACAAUCUUUUUCUUAUUCUAUAUUUUACCUGUCAUCUGUAGGUAUCAUUGUAUAAAUUUACCUGUCAUCUGUAGGUGUUCCCUCAAACAUGAUAGAGAAUGAGAUAUAUGUGAUGCAGUUAUUCGUUAUCAGCCGGACGCAUGAGGACAAACCCAGAGCAGUUAUUCGUGUAACAAAUCUAAACUCUGUUUCCACUUCUGUAUAUUUCUGUGAAAUUUUGCAGUCUAACAGGGCGGUGACUUCAUUUACGAAUGAUAAUUUAUGAUCCCUCUCCUUCAGACCAAAAUGUCAGAAGAAUAGUUGUUGUUAGCCACUAAAGAUUGUUAUUACGACAAAACUGGGUGAUCAACUUCCACGUGAGCAUGUCUGGUUACUCUAUUACUAGAUAUCAUAGUCACAUAGGAUAGUGUUGGUGACUUUACUUAUCUCUCUCUCUAUUUUGUUUUUUUAUAUCUCCUAUAAUUCUAGGCAUUGCUCUUCAUUUUUAAUGAGAAUCUUUAUUUCGUUAAAAAAAGUAAUAUUCAGGCAAGACGUGGAUUUGAUUUUAGAAUUGUCAGUAUUCAUGCAAUAAUUUUCAUGGUAAGUUCGCAUGAUACAUCAAAGAUAUGACAUUAUACAAAUUAUUUAUGUCAAAAUAAUACCAUAUUUGUGUGUGAUUGGUAAGCAUAUCCAAUCUAUAAUUUUGAUGCCGUGAUAUGUUUUGCCUCACUUAUUUAUUCUAAAACCUCAAUCACCACACCUGAUUUUUUUAAACCAUUGAAUAGUACUGAUUUUAUUAUUUGUUUUUGUGUUGCAGAUGCAAAAAAGAGAGGGAAACAAGAACUUCUCGUACAAUUCAUGUUUCAGAGGUUCGAAGAGGGAAAUCUAGUCGAGAGAUCAACGCUUUUGAUUAAUCAAUAUCUAUUAGAUUGUUUAGAUUUUAGUUGUUUGAUUUCGAAGAAUUUUGUUUUAGAUUUGUGUGAAGUAUUGCAUAAGUUGACAGAAUUUUGAUGUAUUUUUAGAUAUUAAAUAGAGAGAGUACAUGUCACGUGUCUUUUUUAUAUGUUGACUUCAAAUACUAAUAAUUGACUUCAAAUUUGGUUUUUUAUAUGUUAUAAUCUUAAAUAAUUGAAGCUUUAGGAGAAGAGGAUUUCUCCCAUACUUUCAAUUUUUUUCUUUGAUUUAUGAUCAGUGAGCAAACAAAACCAGUGUGUUUAUCUUGAUUAUUUUUAAUUUGAAGGUUCCUGAAAAUCUGAUAAUCAAGCGUAUAGGUUUUAUAGAAUAUCAAUAAUAUUUUAAAAAUUUUACCAAGAUAUUUCUAUUUUCAUUUUUGAAUAACUAAUGCAAUUACUAUGAUUGUAUGAUUUGUAUAUGAAAUCAUAGGCAAUACCCCGCAUUUUUUUUAAUUUUGCAUUCAAUUUCUAUUUUCACAUUUCUAUUUUCUUUCUUUUUCAUUAGAUUGUACAGGUUCAAAAAUUAAAUUGUGACACAAAACAGUUUUUCUGUUAGUCUUAAAUAAUUGAACACAAAUGGAGCCUGGAGAAUGACAGUUUCUGUAAACGGAGAUGUAAUCAUUUUUUCCACACUAAAUGUGAUCAUGAGUGUCAUCUGAAUUAUUUUUUCCAUUCGAAUUGAAAUUGUUAUUUACAGGAAAAUGAUCAUAAAUUUAAUAGCUCUAUUUGUCAAUGUGGUCUAACACAUCUUUUUCCACACUAUAAUCUAGUUACAUAAUAUUAAUAUUCUUACAUAUUACAUUCGAAUCGUAAUUAAAAUUUCGACAUGAUCAUUUUAGAAAAUUGUUUAUAACAUACCUAUCAAAAUUGAUCAAAACAAAUAUCGACUAAAAUAAUCAUUUAAUUCUCAUACAAACAUUCCACCAUACUAAAUGAAAAAAGAAAACGUCAUUCAGUUCACGCUAAUGUUACAAACACAUAAAUAAUCUUAGUUAGUUAACGCAAAAAAGAACAUACAUUUAGUUACAUCCUAAUUUAAAUCAAACACUUCAUUUGAAUCUUCUCUUACGUAUAUUCGAAUUCUUCAUUUUUACAGUCCAGUCACUGUAUUCCAUUCGCUCAGCCAGUCGUCUAAAUAGACAGUUUCGAAGUUUAGGUACGUCAGACUUCUUCCAUGACAUUUGCUCAUCGAGACUAAUAUCGUUGAAUAAGCCAUCUUCAAUGUGUAGGUAAUCAAUCAGAGAUGAAAUCCCAUGAAACAUAUAUAAACCGCCAUCAAGCUUCGGAUUAAUUUCUUGUGGAAAUGUCAAACAAUCUACGAAUUGAGGCUCACUAUGCCUUUCGAUGAAUAGAAAUUCUUCAAACCAUUUGGUCAUCCACAUAGCCUUUAAAAAAAUUAUAAUCUUAUUUUCUAGGAGACGAUAUAUAUAUAAAUCAAACAUUGAUAAUAACUUACAGUACGUUUUGCAGCACCAGUGUUAACAGCUCCACGUAACUCGCGGUUUGAAUCGUAAUGUGUGUAUCUAUUUUCGGCACGGGACCAUAGAAGAAAGUGCCAGUGCGUCAUCGUUUUCAUUGCAAUUAUGUAGAACCUACCAUGCCUUUUAAAAUCUCCAUUCAUUGAUGCGCAAACAACAUUGUGGUGGAUUUCUACAUCUCGAGAGUUAACUAAUUGCGGCACUACCCGAGAAGUACGAUCCUCAUAUUCAUCAUCGAAUAGUUCUGGAUUGACAAACUGAAACCUAGAUCCAUGUACACAUUUUUCUGCUAGUUCUGCACGUAUGACCCCGAAGAAAACUUCGACCAGCUACAUAUAAAUUACAAAAAAAACAAUAUGAUAUUGAAAGGAAAAGUUAUAACAAUAAUACUAUACAAUAUAAUAGUAAAAAUAUUAAUCACUAACCAUAACAUCAUAAGUCUUGUGUUGCAAUAUAUCAUUUAGAUGUUGGCCUAAACAAGUAACAUUAUCAUUGGCAAUUAGGUAAAAAGACGACGACCUAUACCUGCAAUGGAGUUUCACAAAUCGACGAAUUUGGAUAAAAAAUAUGAUAUAAUAAACAAUGUUUCAGAAUAAGCAUGAUUUAAACUAACUACUCACUCAGCUUUCAUUACUAGACGUUUCGUCUCUUGAUUCAACUUAGGCACAAGUGCACCAUUGUUUGUAUCAAUUAGGUGACAUUCUCUAUCCUUCUUCCUCUUAUUGGCAACCUACAAUUUCACAUUUGACUCGUUAUCGUAAGAAAUUAGAAUACAGGAUAAUAAAAUUUAGUAAUGAGAAUAUGUACAAACCUUCUCAGCAUUACGGUCCUUCACUCUUUUGAUCAUAGAUGAAACAUACGGUGAUUCUUUACCUAUACUGUCCGAUUGGGAGAAAUUUAUCCUGCGGGCUACAUCUGAGAUAUCUCCUAUCCUAGGUGGGUUUAUAGUACUCUCUAGCGCAUCAGCAGAUGCUACCACAGACGCCCAGAAAUCAGGGGAUGAUAUGAAAAUAGAAUUUGCUUGCGACGUUCCCCCGUUCAAUAAAGGUGUCCUCAUAUCAUUCAACAAUUCAAUUGUUUUUGCUGGACUCAUAUAGUCUUCGUUCAAACGUAAUUGUGUAUAAGCGUUUCCAUUAGGCCUCAUGCCAGAUAUUUUACUAUACCUAACAUCAUUACACAAUUGACUGUACAUAGACUGACCCUCUUCAACCACAAGUAUUAAAUUUGAUUUAGAAUAUGUAUAUGGGGUUGAGGGUUUUUUCCCUAAGUUAGUCUCUACCUUUACUGGGAUAUUCGAGAGAACGGAAAGUUUAGUAUUAUCACAAACAUCCAUAUAGGAUUGAUCUAAAAGUUCGAAACUUGGUGGACAAACAGAUUGGUUGGUUGAAGAAUUCAAAACAUGUGUGCCAUUAGAUUCUGGCAAAGGCUGACGGGAUGAAAUGUCCACUACUGGCAAUUCUGAAGUUUGAAUAUUUGGCGGCAUACACAUUUCCGGACUAGGUGUAGUGACAUGAGUUGUGACAUCAUUUGACACUUCAUCAGAGGUGAUUUCCAAAUUUUGACAUGGUUCAACGAGCAUAUACUCAUACAAUUCAAAGCCCUGAAGAACUACUGGACUAUCUAUCUUCUGGCAUUCCUGACCUAAACCAUCGACCGUCUGACAUUCAAACUUCUCAUUCCUUUCUAUGCAAUCAAAUAAUUCAUUCAUUGGGUUGUCUUUAGAAGAAUCGAAAGACAAUGUGGGUGACGGCGUACAUAAAUCUACAGUAGUAGGGACAUCCAUAUGGACGUCUGUUAUUUUUGCUUCCACACAAUCAUGGCCAUUAACAUUCGUAUUAUCUAUAGGACAUGCUAAUUUAAUAAAUCCUCAAGUACUAAUUUAAACAAUAAAAAUAUAGUGCGUUUAAGCAAAAUACUUACCAGCACAAGAUGUUUUGCAAACAACUACAUCCGCUGUACACUGCAUCACUUAAGCAAGGAUGAUGAGAAUACGAUAUUACAUUAAUACCUACUAAGAGAUUCGAAACGUACCUUUCGUAGAUUUGAUUUUCCCUUCCUCAUUCUUGUGUAAUGUUUAAAUUCCAUUAGAGUCGGUUGAAAAAGACGCCUAUUUGAUACCUGGCCAAAAUUCGUCUAAUGAAAGGUGGAAAUAUUGCAAGUAAUUUUUUAAAAAAAUUUGCAAAAUAAUUUCAAUGAUAGAGUAAUAAUUAUUUCGCCAAAUAAAAUGCAUAUAUGUCUCACUAAUUAAUACAUCAAUCAACUUAAUACAUCACUACAAAUAUUUAACAAUAUUUGAUAGAUCUACUAUCAAAAACCUCUUGCGAAGGUCCAUCACCAGUGUAUACGAAAGGGAACAUUGAGACCUGUAAUAGAAUAACAAUAUCAUUUUAGCCAAAUCUAAAAUAAUAUGAUAAUAUGCUUCAUCAAAUUUAAGGUUACAUAACGGACAUGCACCUCAUCAUUAGAUAGUGAACUUAUAGUGCGAUUUCCUCUAUUAGAAGAACCUUCAUAUCUAUGAAAUAUUACCCUAUUGCCAAGCGAUGUAGGAGGGAAUAAAUUCGACCGCUCCCAUAAGAAUACCUAUAAUGGGAAAUAUAUGAUUAAUAAUUACUAAAAAAUAAUACAAUUAGGACAAAAAAAGGUUAGGAGAGGAUGAAUUACAUUUAGGACAAAAACACAACCGUGGAUAUACUCUCCAACACGAUCACCUAUCCUCUCGCGUCGCCUAACAGAAUGAGAUGCUGAAUUCAUGUUCCUAAACAACUGUUCAAAAAUGAGUUGUGACCAAUUUAGGCAUUUAAGGUCAUCCAGGUUUUCUAGGUAAUGAAACAUCUUCAAUGGCAUUGUCUUCUUCGAUGUAGGUAGCAGGAACGAGCUGAACAAUAGGCAAAGCCACAACCUCACACAAUCUUCAGCAAAAUUCUGGUCAUGCUUACUAGAAGAGACUGUCCUCAAAAAAACUUCUUUCACAAGAGUACUGAAUCAAAUAGAAUAUCGAUUAAUAUAGAGAUGUAAGAUUUAUACAGAUUUAUUUCUAAGACAAAUAAAAACAUACCUGGUGACUUGUUUUACUCCAAAAUAUUUCUUCCAAAAUCGAGUUUCAUGAGAUGUAUCAUCAUCACGGCCUACGAAUAUAGGUAAUCCAGUUGAUGGGAUAUCUAGUAUAUUUCCGACAUCCUUAAUAGUCAUUCUAAUGACUUUGUCUUUAAGCUUGAAAGCAUAGUUGCCCAUAUAUCUACCGACAAGAUCGUCUAGAUGAUACGAAUUGACAACGACAUUUGACUUCUGUAGAAACUGUCCAAAGCCUAUUUUGGAAACUAGGUCAUGAAAAUCAGCAGGUAAUUUCCCCACUACACUCAUAUAAGUAUUGAUGAAACCUGAGUAACAACACCGAUUCUGUACUAGGAAAUGACCUGUGACCAUUAGAUAAAAUCAAUUGAAGACUAAUAGUUGAUUCUCAAAUUUUCAAGAUAAAAGAGUAUCGUAUUAAACUUACUAUUUUUAGCUCCCCUAACAUAAGUGUUUGGAAAUUUUACUGGUGGUAAAAGCUCAUGAUCACUCUUUGAUUUAUCAAUUCGCUUCGUCUUCUUCUUCGGCAGAUUACCUAGCAAAAGUAAAAUUUAUUGAUACAAAAUACAAUUAAAAUAUAACAUUACAUUUGCAACAUAUAACUUGAGGGUCCUUGCGUUUGACCUUCGGGCCAUCAUCUAAUUGAGAAUGGAUAUGACUUCUCAAAAGUUCACCUGCGUCGGCCGAUGUACUAACUCCUGAUCGAGACACACCUAUUGAUCGAGACACAGACAAAUAAGUUAUAGUCAUACAAAAGUCAUUAAAUAGUGUAAGUAUUUCUAAUGAAUGUUUAGAAAAGCAUAAUAUCCUAGUAAUGGCAAUGAUGCUACCACAAACUAAUAAAAAAAUAACAAACCAUGUGUUGGUGCAAAACUAGAUGUAGUUUCCCCAUCGACAUCCGAAUCGGAUAGGCUGACCUAUUGAAAAUGCAAAUCAAUAAUUAAAGCUCUACAAUAACUAAGAAAUAAUUGGGGACAUAAGUAAACUAGCUGGUUUUUAGAACUUACAAUCGAUGUGAUAAUAACCAUAACUCCGCCCAAAUACAAAGUAGACGUAAUAAGUACUACAACAAUAUCAGUAAUACGUCAUUUUAAAAAUUAGAGUUCAUUAGAAAUAGCAUUGGUGUCAGGUAAUCAAUGAGAUUGUUGAUAUACACUAAAGGAUUAAAAUAAAUAACAAAUUACGUUGCAAAAAUCCAUUUGAGUGCAUAGAAAUUUCAUUUGAAAAGUGGCAUCUAACUUAGUGUCAAUCGACUGGUAUCAAGCAAUUUUUGCCAGAGUUAUCAAAAACUAGACAAAAAAAUUUCAAAUCAUAGAAUUUAACCUCAACGAAAAAUUAAUAUACAAAUUCAAUACAUAGAUAAUGCAAGAAAUCAGGUAAGAAAUAACUGGUUGUAUUUAGAUAAUCAAAUUUCGAUUUGAUUACUAAGGAUGUAGGAAUUAUAUCUAGGUGAAUAUUACUAAGAUCAACUAAAUAAUAAACAUCUCCUACACGAAAUGAUAAUUUUAAACAGCUGGCCUAUAAUAAAAAUGAUACAGGCAUUCGUAAAGGAGUAGAUAAAAAUCGAAAGAUAUGGAUUGUAAUCAGAUUAAAAAAAAGUAGAUAAAUAAGAGACACAUUAUGAUUGGAAUAUACGAACACCAUGGUAAAUUUUGAAAUGUAUAAUAAUAUUAAUUAUGGAUUUUGCUUCAAUAGUCGAUAUUCAAUUGCUAUUUAAGUUUGCAGAUAUUCUAUACAUUUUUCAACAGUUGAGUUAUACAACUAUUGAGAUUUGUAUUUCAAAAAUUUAAUUCUCGAUUAGAAGUCCGUCGAGAUUUAGAUAUUCUAAAAUCAUGUCCCUUGCUAGGUGAUUUGGGAUUGCUUAAAUCGCACAAAUCAUUUUGUAUUCAAUGAAUAGAAAAAGGUUGUCUUUCCUAAUACUUUAAUAAGCUUUUUUACAAAGUAAUAGGAGCAUAUUGGAUUAAUGAAAGAUAGCCACUAAGCUUGGUAAAUUUUGAAAAAAUCUGAAGAAUAAAAGAAAAUGCUCUGGAGAGUAAUUAGAGAAAUCCUAAAGUUGAAGAUUUUAACUAGAAAUUUAGAAAAGCAUACAGAAGAAACAUUACAAUAAUUACUAGAAAUUGGUGAAUUCAUCAAAUAUAAUAUUGAACCACCCCGAUAUAUAAUUUCUGUUUGGUAUUUACAGAGUCUGAUGGCAGACGCGAAAAAAACGAGAUAUUACAGAAAAAUAUGGUGAAUAGGAAUGUAAGAAAACAAUAUUAUAAUCCAAAACCGAAAAUCAAAUAUGUUCAAAAUUUGUUAAGAUGUCCAGCAUUAACUUGGGAUAUAAGACUUCAUGAAUCCUACAAAGUAUUUAGUAUUCGAUCAAUCACAUUGGGUAGGAUAACCUAUUUCUCCACAUACGUAUUAUACAAUUUAGCUGGAGAAUAAAAUAUUAUUCAAACAUAGCAAGUUAGCUUUAUGAAAUGUGGAAAAAUCUAUAGAAUAAAAUAAAUUGAUCUAGAAGGUAAAUAUAAUAAUCCUAUUACAAUACAUUGUAGUAAGUAAUCUAUACCAGCAUACAAAAACCAACAGAUGAAUAAUUGCUAGAUUUUCUAGAAUUCAUCAAAUACAAUAUAAACGAUCAGAAAUAUAAUUUCUGUUUGGUAAAAAGAACAGGGAGGUAGUACUUCGAUAAUACUAACUGCUGAUCAAUAGCAACAGAUAACAAACUGCGGAGAAAAAAUCCUCCGAGUUCAUAGUAUUUUCAUCUAAAAUUUUGACACAUACCAAAUUGUCUAUUGGCUGUUCAUAAAUCACUCAUGUCCAGGGUUGAUAUUAUCGAAAGCUGGGGGCAAUAUAAGAUUCCGAAACGAAGGUUUAACCCUAAUAGACAUAUUAGUAUAACAAUUCCAUACAAACAUAUGGAUACAAACAUAUUAGAGCAAAAUGAAAAAUCAAAGCCGGAGGAAUAUAAGUAAAUAACUUGGGUUCGACAGUAACAAAUUAAUUUGAAUAUUAGAUAGGAUAAAAAAUUUCGAAAAUGACGACUAUUUGUAUAGAUCAUCAUUAACAUCAUGAACAUUAUUUCGAAAAACAUAACAAUGAAUAUGUAAUGAUCUUUAAUCAAAUAUCAACAGAAAACAAUUUAGACAUAAAUGGUAAUGUUGAAUAUUGAAAAAAAAACUUUAUAGACCAAAUUUUUACUUAAGUGCUAUGACCAAAAGACCAGAGGUAAAUAAAUAUGGAUCCGCAGAACUAAGUUAUAAAAUAAUAAAUUACAGACAUACUAAUAUUUUUAGUGUAAUUAUUAUAUUGAAAAAAAAAUCUAAUCAUGGUUGUAAAUGGGUACUACACAUGUAUCGUUAGAAUACCAGUGAUUUUAUACUUAAAAAAAAAAUUCGAAAAAAAACAGAAAAACAAACUUAUAACAUGGUGAAAAUGGGGGUAACGAAUAACUAGUAUUUGAUUUUGAUUUUGUACUGGCUUUCUAAAGAUCAAGACAUUGAACUAUAUAACUAAGAUAAUACACAGAACUUCGUAGAAUAAUUCAAAUGAAGAUAACUUGGUUUAGUGUUCGAAUUAUUGUUCCAUUAUUGUUACAUAAUUCCAAUUAUUGUUCUGUGUAUUACUUGGAAUUAUACACAGAACUUCAUUAAUUUAAGAUAACUAAGAUAAUACACAGAACUAUAAACUAACCAACCUGUUUCUAUUGAUCUAGCAUUACUAUACUGUAAAAUAAUUCCAAUCGUGUAGAAUAAAAUAAAUUCCAUACCAUUCAUGUUCAAGAAUUGAUUACAUGAAUAGAUAAGGAUUGGGGAUAGAAAAAAAAAAGAAAAUCAGUAUGGAAAAUCUAUUCCAUUUGUUCAUAAACAUAUGGGGAUUUUGAUUGAUGCUAUUUACGAUGCCUAAAUUUUUUUUGGAUUUUUAGAAAUCCUGAACUUGAUAUUAGGGAUUUAGAAAUACCUAAAAUCAUUUGUUAAUCGACGAAUGGCAUGUAGUAUGACAUGCGAUUUUUUUCGGUAAUGUGGAUUCGCUGGGAACAUAUGGAUUAAAUGACACAUUUUGAAUUAGGUAGAUCAAAUGUAAACAACAUACCCACUAGUUCUGUCAAACCUCAGAGUGAUUUGUCGACGCGCAGCACCAGCGGAACCUGAAAUCGCCGUCGGCCGGAAGAUAUUUUUGCCCAAUGCGUUGAUGAAGGAGGCGUAAGAAGUGAAUGAAGUAGAUGAGAAUGUUAUUUGGGGAAAUAUUAAGAGGUUGCGGAUUGCAAUGUCAGCAAGGAUUAUCGACAUUGGUUUUUUUAUUGCUAUGAAGAAUGUUGACGGGACGGCCGACGUAAUCAUGGUACGGUGGAAUAGUGGAAGAUAUGGGCUACCGGACGGAUGUUCAGAGAGGAGGUAUGGGGCUGUCUUGUUGGCUGUACGCAUUUGGUCAAAUUCGAUGGACGGUGUAGAGAGGUUCUCGCAAUCGACGGUGAGAUGUACCGUCCGCAAAACGGUCCGUCCCGCAAUACGUCCGUUCAAAAAACGCCUCCAAUAUAUAUAUUCCAAUAAUCAUUUCUCUAUAUAUUAUCUUCCAUUUUCAUUUUUUUCUUAUCUUGCGUUGUCGUCGAAUCUAUCUUCACAUUUGAAUUUUUGCUUAAAAAUUAUUUAAUGUUUUAUCUUAUUUAAUAUUUUAAAAAUUAUUUAAGAAUUUUUUGAUCAAAUUAUUUAAAUAACAAGAUUUUUAUGCAAAAAUUUUAAAAAAUAUCAAACUCGGUCCCGAACUCAACCAAACCCGACAUCCAAAUCGGGUUCGGGUUUUAUAAUUUUAAAUGUUUCCGAGUUUUGACCCGAAUCCGAACUCAAUUUCAAAACUCGGAUGCGGGUAAGCACAAAUCUGAGCCAAAUCCAACUCAUGUUCAUUCCUAUAGUUAGUCUCAUCAAUCUCAAUCCGAAUUGAGAUAGUCAGUCUCAAUCAAUUGUUCCACCUAGUUCCACCCAGUCUCCAUUUAUCUUUCCCUUUGUAAUUAAAGUUGGGUUUUACAUGCAAAAUAUCUUGCCAAACAAGUAAAAAUUUUGGAAGAUGUGGCAUUUUUCUACAAAAAAAUUUAAAACUUUUAAAUUUAGUCCCACAUCGGAGAUUCAUUAUUGUGAUAAAAAUACCAAGUAGUAUAUAAAUGAUAAAAUCGUUUUAUAGAACUCAUACCUUUCUCGGCCUUUUGGCUAAGAUCAAGUGUAGUAUCUGUUCUUAUCAGUUUAAUAUCUGAUAUGUGGAUCAUCGAUUCACACGAUAUUAAAUUUAUUUUUUUUGGGUGAAGAUCUGUUAACAAUGGCUUGCCGUUGGGAUUUUCUGUUGUCGUCAUAGUUUUGCACUAUUGCUUUGACUGACAAAACCCUCCUAAUUUUAAAAUUAAUUUUUAGUUUUUUUAUUAAGGAAUCUGAAAUAGUAGUUAGAUGUUAUUGUGUUGGAAAUUGGAAUGAUGGAUUUUAGACUUUGAAAGACAAGAGAUCUUAAAAUGUUUUUUCAUUAAAAAUGAAUAAAAAUCAAGAUCAAAUAUUCAACAUCAACAGAAUAUAAAAAAAUUUAAUGAAGAAACAUUGAAAUCCGAUCAUAUUGAGAUCUUUCAGGUAAGAUACAUUUCCAAAUAUAUGUCCUUUAUCUGCAAAUAAUGAACAUCUCUUCCUGGUUGGCUAAAUGAACCUCUCGACUAAUUCAUACAGCCUUAAAGAAUCACAUAGAGACGCCUAUCCAGUGAUUCUUUUCUUUACAUGGAUGAUGCAUCAAAUGCUUUCAAAGAAUAAACAUAUCAAAGCUUUUUAAUGUCUCAACCUUAUUGCCAUUGCAAGGAAUUUACAUCUUGUGAAGAAGAUACAACUGAUUAUCAUACAAAUGCAAGAAACUUUAACCAAGGCACAAAUUUGCAGAAUUGAAGCUCCAAUGAACAUAGAAAUGCAUCAAAGUCAUUCAUCACCGUACUGUAAUAAAUUCAUAACUUUAGCGGGGGCACAAAGUUGUGGAAUUGAAGCUCCAAUGAACAUAGGAAUGCAUCAAAGUCAUUCAUCACCGUACUGUAAUAAAUUUGUAACCUGCACAGAAGAUGCACCUGAUGAUUAUCAUUAUAUGAAUACAAGAAACUUCAGGGGAGAGACAAAUUUGUGGAAUUGAAGUUCCAAUGAACACAGGAAUGCAUCAAAAUCACACAUCACCAAAUGAAAUUAAAGCUUCCUCUCAUUGCAUAGUAUCAAAUUUGCCCCCCCCCAUCCCAUCCCAUCACUAAAUACUUACUUAGAUCUUCUUUUCUAUGACCUCACUCCUACAAUGGUAUUUUUUAACAUCAUCGAGUAAUGCAUUUU
rnacentral:lncRNA from 1 species